rnacentral:rRNA from 1 species
AACGAACGCUGGCGGCAGGCUUAACACAUGCAAGUCGAACGCAUCCUUCGGGGUGAGUGGCAGACGGGUGAGUAACGCGUGGGAAUGUGCCCUUCAGUUCGGGAUAACCCAGGGAAACUUGGGCUAAUACCGGAUACGUGCGAGAGCAGAAAGAUUUAUCGCUGAAGGAUCGGCCCGCGUCUGAUUAGCUAGUUGGUGGGGUAAUGGCCCACCAAGGCGACGAUCAGUAGCUGGUCUGAGAGGAUGAUCAGCCACAUUGGGACUGAGAAACGGCCCAAACUCCUACGGGAGGCAGCAGUGGGGAAUAUUGGACAAUGGGCGCAAGCCUGAUCCAGCCAUGCCGCGUGAGUGAUGAAGGCCUUAGGGUUGUAAAGCUCUUUCGUCCGGGACGAUAAUGACGGUACCGGAAGAAGAAGCCCCGGCUAACUUCGUGCCAGCCGCCGCCGUAAUAC